AUGAUGGACGACCCGCCGCCCUCCUCGCGGCACCGGCUUCCCGUGCCGCCGCCGCCGCCGCCGCCGCCGCUGCUUCUGCUUCUGUUGCUGGUCUCCGUCUCCUGCUCGCUCGCCCACGGCAGCCCAGCGGUUGGAGGAGGACUCGGUGCAGAGGAAUGGGGCGCGACUAGGGAUGCCGCUUCCGUUGAACUCAGAAAUUCGCAUCCGAGAAGACUACUGCAGGUAGGCGGUGGAAACCACCUCCCACCACAGUUCCUGCAACCGAGGCACAGGCAUCACAGAAGAGCACCCUCGCCUGCUCCGUCGCCCUCGCCAUUCACCGCUCCAUCACCAUCGCCUUCAGCUUUUCGCCCAUCGCUAGCCCCUCCACAUUUCGUCAGGCCUCUGCCUUCCACCCCACAGCCAAGUCAUGAUCCUCAAGUUGGUGCCCCAGUCAACCCUUUGCAUAGGCAUUCCUGGAGAGCCUACGGUUUGGUCACGGCAGGUGGUGCGGCUCUCCUUGUCAUGGCAGCGGCGUUUGCUGUAUACUGCCGGGCGAAGAAAGUGGGUACUGUGAGGCCUUGGGUCACAGGGUUAAGCGGGCAGCUGCAGCGAGCAUUUGUGACAGGUGUACCUUCCUUGAAGCGGUCAGAGCUGGAAGCAGCCUGUGAGGAUUUCAGCAAUAUAAUUGGUUCUACGGCUAACUGCAUGUUGUAUAAGGGAACAUUGUCAAGCGGAGUCGAAAUAGCGGUUGUGUCAAGUUUAAUAUCGUCUAAGAAUGAUUGGCCAAAAGAAUGUGAAUCCCAGUACAGGAAAAAGAUCUCAAGUUUAUCCAAAGUGGGCCACAAGAACUUCAUCAAUCUGCUUGGCUACUGUGAAGAAGAAAAUCCUUUCACCAGAGCUAUGGUGUUUGAAUAUGCUCCGAACGGGACUCUUUUCGAGCAUCUCCAUGUUAGAGAAGCUGAGAAUCUGGACUGGAUGGCCCGACUUAGAAUAUCGAUGGGGAUAGCAUACUGUCUCGAGCAAAUGCACAAGCUGAAUCCACCCGUCGUGCCAAGGAGCUUCGGCUCAACAACUAUCCACCUCACUGAUGAUUUUGCCGCAAAGGUUUCAGAUCUUGAUUUCUGGAAUGGCACCAAGGGAUCUGAUUCGGUCACCGACGACUGCACCAUGUUGGACACGGAGAGCAUCGUGCAUCAGUACGGCAUUAUACUGCUGGAGAUAUUAACCGGGAGAGUACCCUUCCCUGAGCAAGAUCUGCCACUGGAACAGUGGGCGUCCAUCUAUUUUGAAGGCAAGAUGCCUCUUGCAGAGCUGAUGGACUCGAGCCUGGGCUCCUUCCCUGAGGAAACCGCGCGCGCGUUGUGCGACGUCGCGAGGUCCUGCGUCGACCCGGACCCGAGCAAGAGACCGCGGAUGGCGCAGGUGGCGGCGCAGAUGAAGGAGAUCACGGCGGUGGGGCCUGAGGGCGCGACCCCGAAGGUGUCGCCGCUGUGGUGGGCUGAGCUUGAGAUCAUGUCUGCUGAGGCUACCUGA
rnacentral:rRNA from 1 species